UACAGAGGUCUCAAGCGUUGUUCGGAUUCACUGGGCGUAAAGGGCGCGUAGGUGGCCCGGUCAGUCUUUGGUGAAAGCGCGGGGCUCAACCCUGCGUCGGCCAGGGAUACUGCCGCGGCUCGAGCACUGUAGAGGCAGGCGGAAUUCCGGGGUGUAGCGGUGGAAUGCGUAGAGAUCCGGAAGAACACCGGUGGCGAAGGCGGCCUG
rnacentral:rRNA from 1 species